AAUAGAUACCCCGGUAGUCCACGCCGUAAACGAUGAGUGCUAGGUGUUAGGGGGUUUCCGCCCCUUAGUGCUGCAGCUAACGCAUUAAGCACUCCGCCUGGGGAGUACGGUCGCAAGACUGAAACUCAAAGGAAUUGACGGGGGCCCGCACAAGCGGUGGAGCAUGUGGUUUAAUUCGAAGCAACGCGAAGAACCUUACCAGGUCUUGACAUCCCGCUGACCGCCAUGGAGACAUGGCCUUCCCUUCGGGGACAGCGGUGACAGGUGGUGCAUGGUUGUCGUCAGCUCGUGUCGUGAGAUGUUGGGUUAAGUCCCGCAACGAGCGCAACCCUUGUCCUUAGUUGCCAUCAUUCAGUUGGGCACUCUAAGGAGACUGCCGUACAAAUACGGAGGAAGGUGGGGAUGACGUCAAAUCAUCAUGCCCCUUAUGACCUGGGCUACACACGUGCUACAAUGGGUGGUACAAAGGGCGGCAAACCCGCGAGGGGGAGCGAAUCCCAAAAAGCCACUCUCAGUUCGGAUUGCAGGCUGCAACUCG
rnacentral:rRNA from 1 species